rnacentral:rRNA from 1 species
CCCUUAGAUGUUCUGGGCCGCACGCGCGCUACACUGAUUCAUGCAACAAGUUUUGUCCUUGGCUGAUAGGCCUGGGUAAUCUUUGAACGUGAAUCGUGAUGGGGAUAAAUGAUUGCAAUUAUUCAUCUUCAACGAGGAAUUCCUAGUAAACGCAAGUCAUCAGCUUGCAUUGAUUACGUCCCUGCCCUUUGUACACACCGCCCGUCGCACCUACCGAUUGAAUGGUCCGGUGAAAUCUUCGGAUCUGAGAGAUGUCUGAUUAAUUUCGGACGCCUUUUGGAAAAGUUGCUUAAACCUUACCAUUUAGAGGAAGGUGAAGUCGUANCA